CGAAAAGCAAUGACAAGGAUUAGUACUGGAAGUAGCAGUGCCGCAGAGAGGAAAUGGUUGGUGAAAAUUUCCGUACAGCUAUUCAGGAACCUGCCUUGGAGCUCAGUAUCGAUAAGAUACAAGCGGAGAUAUCCGUUAUCAAAAGAGUGCGCAGGUAACUGUGAACAAGGGUGGUACCACCAGACCUCGGUCCCUUUU
rnacentral:ncRNA from 1 species